CAGUUGUUCUCCCCUGAAAAACGGAAAUUCAUCGCAUCACCGUCACCAAUUUUGUUAUAAAUUCACUCACUAAUAAUCGGGACAGGAAAAAGCAUUACACUCCUCCCAUCUUUGCCAAAAGCUGUGGUGUUUGAGCAGCCAAAGCCAGGAGGCUUCAGCACCAGGGCUCUGCCCUGGAGGGCUCCUGGUCCUGCCCAUGCCGUGGGGUCAGCAGGAACAAGAGGAAAUGGGGUGCCAGAGCCGUGUGCCAUCGGGCCGUGUUUCCCUCUGAGGACAGAGAGUCCUGGCUGAGGUGAGAUGGGCACGAGAGCCGGGAUGAGCCAUCCAGGGAUUCCAGGGAGCUCAGAAUCGCAGCUGCUGCCAGAACCGCGGCCUUAGGUCCGCUCCUUCUGCGUCUGUGCCCAGUGGGAUUUGUGCUGGAGAGAGAGGUGCUGUCGGGAACAAAAGGGAGAAGAACACCAACUCACAACCAUUCAGGCCUGGCAGUACCCUGCAGAGAGAGCUCAGCACACACCCACAGAGGCAAGUC